UACGUAGGGUGCAAGCGUUAUUCGGAAUUACUGGGCGUAAAGCGUGCGCAGGCGGUUUUGUAAGUCAGAUGUGAAAUCCCCGGGCUUAACCUGGGAACUGCGUUUGAAACUACAAGGCUAGAGUGUGGCAGAGGGGGGUGGAAUUCCACGUGUAGCAGUGAAAUGCGUAGAGAUGUGGAGGAACACCGAUGGCGAAGGCAGCCCCCUGGGUCAAUACUGACGCUCAUGCACGAAAGCGUGGGGAGCAAACAGG
rnacentral:rRNA from 1 species